GAAUAUCAACAAUGGGUUUCAGUGCUGUAUUGUUGAGUUUUGUAUGAACUAAUCUAGCUUCACUAAAAAAAAAAAAAAUAGAAAGAAAGAAAGAAAAGAAAAGAAAGAAGAAAAAAAAGAAAAGAAAAAAAAAAGAACCAGAGCUUUGGACAAAAGUCUAUAGCCAGUGCAUCUGAAACUCCCCUUGCACAAGGGCUGACUGUAGCUGGGAGAAGACAUUUUACUCAUUUGCUCUCUCCUUUCAUACGGUCAGCUGGUCCCUCUUCUCAGGUGUAGAUCCUUAGCCUAAUUUCACUAAUUUUGAUACUCUGAUGAGGAAAGUCCCAGGACUUAUCAGCUGGGACAGGCCCCACUUUCGAGACAGCUCUGUUCAGUAUGUGGAAGAAAGAAAGCCUGGCAGGUUUCUCCGGAAAAGUGGCCAUCCAUGGAAUGAAUGAAAUGUUCUCUUUCUAUCCCAACUACCAAUGACAUUUUUCCUUAGCCUCAAGAGACCAUCAUAAAACUUGGCUCACAGUGCUUUCAGAACAGGAACUGAAGUUGUGUACCGUGCAUGUAUAGUCCUACGCAAGAGGAAAGCAAUGUUUAAAGCUGCUGUCGUCUCCAGGAAAAAAAAAAAGAAAAAAAAAACACUGGGAUUCUAAGUCGAGGGAUUGCAGUGGCAAAGCUAGGCUAGGUCUUGGAGGCUGGUGUAAGGCGAUGUGUGUGGAGGCAGGAGGCUGAUGGAGAGACUGGGGGGAAGAAAAGCCGAAAUGGAUUCACAGUGCCUUGGAUGGAGGAUGAGAGGGGAACGGCAAGCUCCUUCAACUCAUUCUGUCCGGUGAGAAGUGAUCAAGCUUGGGCUGACAAGAGGCUCAGGGAGCCCUCACGUUCUUUGCUUUUUUACCUGCCAAUCAAACUGCUACAAGACAACACCCUGAUCUGGCAUGGACAUCGCGGGUUCAAGCCUGUAGCCCAAAAUCGGAUAAUCUCUGCAGCUGAUAACAAGCAAAAGAGAAGCCAGGCAACAGCCAUAUUACAGAAGAAAACACUCAACUCUGAGAUGCAACUUAGAAAUAAUGUUUCACUCAAGAUAAGGCUGGUCGUUUGUGAGAUUCUGGCUGACUUUGCCUCGUUCUGAGACUUCCAUCAUCUCUUUUCAAAACCUGAGGAGAACCUCUUUCCUGUGUGAUAGUUCCUCGAACCUUGCCAGCCACCGGGUCUGUGAGGAAACUUGCCAGGAGGUUCUGGCUGCCAAGGACAGUGGAGUUCAUCGUAGACAAGGUGCUGGCACCACAGCUUUAGUGACUCUCCAGCCUUGUUGCCCACCUCGAAAUGUCAAGACCCACACGGUCUUAUUGAAAGGCCUGGGUUUUUAGCAAAGUGCAAUUGGAUCACGUGGCACGAUCAUCUCAAACUAUGUCUCUGACCUUCCCUUACAAUGGCGGUUUUGAGCACAAAUCAAGAAAGGAAAUGAUUCUUGAAUUAUAUUUUGUUUUUGUACAAAAUUAAGAUCAAUUAACAAAUACUUGCUUUUAUGUCCAUUCUGUUCUAAGAACUUAAUGGUGAUUACAAAACAGUAAAAAUAGGUCACAGCAAAAUGAACACUCAAGAUUAGGUUAAAACAUUCCUCUGAAAUUUCUGUAUUCAUUUUUGGAAUGUCAGUUACCACAUUUCUGUAAUUUAUCAUCUUUUUUUUUUUUUUCUGGCUUAGAGUCAAGGUGAGAAAUGAUAUUUAGACCAAAGACAUUGUUUUGUUAUAUAGUCACAGCUUUUCAAAAUGCAAAUCAACCUUCCCUUCACCAAUGCUGGAUCACUGGUACACACACACACAGCACCAAUAUGUUAGAGGAGGAUUCUCUUAAAAUUUCUAGGACUUGCAUCAUGUGAGAAGCAGAUGAGAAAACUAAAGGAAGUCCAGACAAACAACAGCAAUACUUAUUUUAUUUUACAAAAGUCAUUGCAUAAUACUUUUAAAAGCAUGUAUUAUUAUGAGUAAAGCAUAUUUGUUAUAUAUCUGAACUAUGAUUCUUGUCUAGUGUCAAGCCACACAUAGGAGUCACUUAAAGUGUAUUGUUUUUCAUUAGAUCACUAAAAAUCAACUAGUAGGUUCUAGAAAGUGCAUAGAUUUACCCUGCGGAGAAUUUUGAUUUGUAAGUGUUUCCAUUGUUGUGGAACAUUGGGAUAAGAUGGCAUUUGUCAUUAACAUGGAAGAAUAUUCUAUGGCUUUUCUUUAGUUUUAAUGUACAUUGCUCUAAAAUAAAGAACACACUGUGGCUUUUAUCCUCCCAGUGUUCUUUUGUUACAUGCAGAAUAUGUGAGGCUGUUGUUUUAAAUGUGGGUACUAUUUUUAUUGAGCCAUUUGGUAAAAGAUAAAAUAUGUAAUAAUAAUAGCCCCUUACUUUUCUCCUAAUUGUAUUAUUCCAAGUCAAACAGAAUGGAUACCUUUCUUGGGGGAAAAAUCUGGAGUGUGUUAUUGUAGCAAAAAUUAUUAUUUGUGGUAUUUUUCACUGAUUCACUAGCUUUUAUGAUGGAUCUUAUUUCAAAGCUGAUUAUUCUCUUGGAAAACCAGAGAGAUAUUAGAAUUUCCAGGUAAAUUACAUUGUUUAAAGACCAUUUUAAUGCAUUGUUCAUAUUGUGGUAAGUCAUUUCCACCCACCCACCUAAAAAAAAAUAAAAAGAAAAAAGAAUGUAGUUUCUGCUCCAAAUGCCAAAUUUUGCAGUUUGAAAGUCCUUGCUGAUUCCAAUUUUGAUUUUAAGAUCAGCAGUGGAAAUUAAUAUCAAAGUCACAGACAAUUGAGAAGCCUCCUCCCACCCCACACCCCACACUUUUUUUUUUUUUAACUUGAACCGUGAUAGGCAUCUCUGCAAGGUAGGUUUUAACAUAUUUUUUCCCUAAUUUUUCCCCCUCCAUUCAGUAAGAAGGAUAAGCUUUUAGAGUACCCAGUCACCGUGGUAACUGCCAAAAAAAUUCUCCUGAAGUUUGAAGAGGUCAGCUAGCAGGGUCAACAACUCUGGCCUCUCUCUGAGCUCGGUCUAGCAUGCCCCAGCCUGCGGUUGGAGUGUCAGGCCAGAUCUGACCCUGGGAGGUGCACUGUUCCAGCUCUGAUAUAAAUUUUUUGAGUCAGUUCAUGGCCUGGACUCUCCAGGUGGCCUCCAAAAUCGAUUGUGACCCUGUGACCCUGUCUCACGGAGGCAUAGCAUCCACCCUAAGUAAGGAUUUAGCCAGGAAUGACAGCUUUCCACUGAGUGUUAUUGGGGACAGUAUAAACAGUUUGGAAAGCAAGGAAGGAGGUGUGAGUACUAGAAAUCAUUAAGGGCACAUUUAAAAACAAUUUAAGAAAUCUUUGUUUUAAAAAGUUUGAAAUGCAUAUCUGUUACACAACUCCUAUGCGAUUUGUAGGGUUUUUUUUUUAAUCAAUUUUUAAUAGGAAUAAUAAGCCACACAUAUCCUUACCCCUUUAGGUACUUUGUUACAAAGUGUGCAAGUAAGAUAGGCAAACUGAUAACAAAUAGAUUCAGCAGAGAUGUAAUGUGUACAAAGGGAAGCUAGAUAUUUAAAUGCAAUAGGUAGGUAAAGAGUUUCUAGGAUUUUAAAUACAAAAUUUUGUGUGCAUGUCUUGAAAUGUUCAAAAUGGGAAAAUAAGAAACCUUAAAAAACAAAACAAAAAUACGCUGGCAGUUUGGAAUAAAAAUAAAUUUGUUGCAUUCCAAUUUCUUGCUAGUUUAUAAAACAAAUAGCCAGUACCCUUAUUUAGAUCUUAAAGAGCAGAAGAGGAAAAUGACAAAAAAUGAAGAAUGUUUCUGAAUAACUAUGGAUUUUUCACCAGUUUGGAAAAUAAAAACGAUACACAUAAAGCAUCAGUGAUUAUUUUGUUUGCUUUUUUUGUUGUUAUUUUCCAGAAAACCACGCUGAAUGUUUUAUUUUCUCUAAGAAAGAGGGUUCUCUUUGAGAGUUUAGCCUGUGAACUCAGCAUGUAAAUGUGGCCAUCAAGCGAGACGGAACUGCCGAAAGGGAAGAUUCCGAAUGUUUCUCUUUCUUAAAACCCUGCGCAGCAUUCCUUCCUCCACACACGGACUUUCCUCAAAGUUUCCCUUUUUCCAAACUCGGCUGAAAAUGCCUUCAGAACGCCGCGCUGCAGUACCUGAACCAGCUGUCGCGUGAAGUCGUUGAGACGCCUUCUCGGAAUCCCGUGUAAAAAUUAGAUUCUAAGUAGGGGUGAAUACUCUUCUGUGAGCGGGGACGGGCCAGGAGUGGGGGGCGGGGUGGAGGGGCCUGAGCACUUGACGUCCGGGUGUACCCUUUGUGUUUGAAGGCCUCCCUGUCCUGGCUUCUCACUAAGUUAAAUCCCUAUUAUAAAAUUUAUCUUCACAAAGCCUAUUAUAGUAUUCUGAGAACAAAUUGGACCAUGAAUAACUUAGUUGGAAGUGUAGAUUAUUUUCUACUCAGGGAAAGUUAGAGAUGACAACAGCUUAACUAAAAGAAUGGUGAUUAAUCUUACAUAGAUGGAUUUCAAAGUUUCGCUCCUACUAAAGGGUCCCUUUGCCAGUUCUCCUCUUCAGACUCGCAAUUCCACUUCUUUUUUUGCAGUAAGAAUUGUCCUGGUGAUUACACGGCCCCCCUAAAACAGCCUGGCUCUGAGUGCAGAUGGUUUUCUUCCAGGUUGUUCAUGUGUCAAGAGACGUGGCCACUCUAUUUCCUAUUGGUUAAAUCUAUGCUUCCAAAGUGGUUUCUGUGUUUCAAUACGAAGCUCAAAGACAGGAAUGAUCUCUUGCAAUAAUCAUAGUUUCUCAAUUAGAAAACAAUAUGGAUUACUUCACAACAUUUAGUUUAAUGCCCUAUAGUUUACAAAGCAUCGCUCAGUCCAUAAUGUUCUUUGAUCCUUAAAAUAAUGUAAUGAAAUAAAUAUCAUCAAUCCUGUUGUACCUGUGA